ACGGGCGGUGUGUACAAGGCCCGGGAACGUAUUCACCGCGACAUUCUGAUUCGCGAUUACUAGCGAUUCCAGCUUCGUGUAGUCGGGUUGCAGACUACAGUCCGAACUGGGACGGCCUUUUUGUGGUUCGCUCCCCCUCGCGGGUUCGCCUCACUUUGUAACCGCCAUUGUAGCACGUGUGUCGCCCAAAUCAUAAGGGGCAUGAUGAUUUGACGUCGUCCCCACCUUCCUCCAGGUUAUCCCUGGCAGNCACGCCAACAGUGCCCGGCUGAUCCGCUGGCUACUGAAGAUAGGGGUUGCGCUCGUUGCGGGACUUAACCCAACAUCUCACGACACGAGCUGACGACAACCAUGCACCACCUGUCUCUCCUGUCCCGAAGGAAAGGGACNGUUAAAGUCCCGGUCAAGGAGGAUGUCAAGACCUGGUAAAGGUUCUUCGCGUUGCUUCGAAUUAAACCACAUGCUCCAACCGCUUGUGCGGGUCCCCGUCAAAUUCCUUUGAGUUUCAAUCUUGCGAAACGU
rnacentral:rRNA from 1 species